rnacentral:snoRNA from 1 species
GGACACCUGUGAUGUCUAGGACUGAGCUCUGACUGCCCAUGAGGACACUUACCCCCUAGACCUUUGUCACCCAAGCGUCUGAGGGGCCC